rnacentral:rRNA from 1 species
UACGAAGGGAGCUAGCGUUGUUCGGAAUCACUGGGCGUAAAGCGCACGUAGGUGGAUAGUUAAGUCAGGGGUGAAAGCCCGAGGCUCAACCUCGGAAUUGCCUCUGAUACUGGCUGUCUAGAGUUCGAGAGAGGUGAGUGGAAUUCCUAGUGUAGAGGUGAAAUUCGUAGAUAUUAGGAAGAACACCGGUGGCGAAGGCGGCUCACUGGCUCGAUACUGACACUGAGGUGCGAAAGCGUGGGGAGCAAACAGG